rnacentral:lncRNA from 1 species
AGGAGGUCAUUCUUCUCAUUGAGUAAGUAGGUCACUUGCCUGUUUGUUUUGUCCUCUAUCUUCUUUAUUUGAAUCUUUACUUGCCCCAUUGUCUCCUUGCUAAUGUAGUUUUGACCCAAGAAGCAAUUCGGGCCAAUUUACAGGCUUAAGAGCUCCAUGCUUAAAAAAAGGUGGAAAGAGAGACAAGCCAAUUUAUAGGCUUAGGAGCUCCAUGCUUAAAAAACGGUGGAGAGACAAAAGGGCAGAAAAAGCUGACGAUAAGUCCAGCCCGCAUGGUUGACAAAUACAAAGAAUAGAAUCGAGGGUAAAGGGAAAUUUUUAUUGGUUUGCAAGUGCAUUUGAGAGAGAGAGAUGGGGUGGUGUAAGUACGUUUUGUUGCGUGCUCUAUCUUUGUCUACG